rnacentral:rRNA from 1 species
UAAUCACUUGUCUAUUAAUUGUAGACCAGUACGAACGGCAACAUGAGAGCCCAACUGUCUCUUGUAAUCAACCAAUUAAACUGAUCUCCCAGUACAAAAGCUGGGAUACACAUAUAAGACCAGAAGACCCUGUGAAGCUUUAACUAAACCUCUAACCCGUCUAGAGACUAAUUUAGGUUGGGGCGACCUCGGAAUAAAAACAAACUUCCNNNNNNNNACCUCACUUACACAGGCCCACAAGCCACAACACGACCCAGUAUAACUGAUAACUGAACCAAGUUACUCCAGGGAUAACAGCGCUAUCUUCUUCAAGAGCCCAUAUCAAAAAGAAGGUUUACGACCUCGAUGUUGGAUCAGGACACCCAGAUGGUGCAACCGCUAUCAAAGGUU